rnacentral:rRNA from 1 species
UGGGGAAUUUUGCGCAAUGGGGGAAACCCUGACGCAGCAACGCCGCGUGAGUGAUGAAGGCCUUCGGGUCGUAAAGCUCUGUCAGAGGGAAAGAAGUGUGGGCGGUUAAUACCCGUACCACUUGACGGUACCCUCAAAGGAAGCACCGGCUAACUCCGUGCCAGCAGCCGCGGUAAUACGGAGGGUGCAAGCGUUGUUCGGAAUUAUUGGGCGUAAAGCGCGUGUAGGCGGUUUUUUAAGUCUGAUGUGAAAGCCCCGGGCUCAACCUGGGAAGUGCAUUGGAUACUGGAAGACUUGAAUACGGGAGAGGGUAGUGGAAUUCCUAGUGUAGGAGUGAAAUCCGUAGAUAUUAGGAGGAACACCGGUGGCGAAGGCGGCUGCCUGGACCGAUAUUGACGCUGAGACGCGAAAGCGUGGGGAGCAAACAGGAUUAGAUACCCUGGUAGUCCACGCCGUAAACGAUGAGUACUAGGUGUUGCGGGUAUUGACCCCUGCAGUGCCGUAGCUAACGCAUUAAGUACUCCGCCUGGGAAGUACGGUCGCAAGACUAA